UACAGUUUGUCUCGUGUAUAUACAGCAUUGCUCCAUCAGAUCAAAGAAACUAUGUAAAAAUCUACAACUACAAAGUCUCAUUCAAGUUAAGAAUGUUCUCCAAACAUUUUUACAAAUGUUAUCACAAUAUAUUUUUUUCUGAAUGUUAAGUGCAUUGGCAUAAAUAACAAAACAAAAUAAUUCAACACAUUUAUGAAACCCGAGUAUCGCAUAGUUCUCCUUUGACUAAAAGCCAUCUCACAGACUUCCUGUUAAACCAUGGCUGACCUCAUCAUGUUUUACAUGGAAAAUCGAUGCACCCAGUGCAGUAAGGAAGAAUUCCAUCAAUCCUUUGGGAAUAAGAGCCCUACAAAUAUCCCUCCAUUAAUGUGCACAUUAGUACAACAAAAACAAACUAAAUGAAGAUGCAAGUUGUAAUAUUUUAUAAACCGUCUUUUCAAAUACUGAAAAGAAGUUGCAUUUUAAAAUAACCUAAACAUUUAAGCCAUAAAAUAAUUCAGAUGAACAAGCAAACGAACAUCAAAGGACAAACCAGAAAUUCAAACCACAUGAUAAGAAGCGGUUUUAGAAAUGAAAAACUUUUAAAUCUAAUUUAAAGUUUAAUAGUAAGUAAAGGUUAUACAUAAUGCAAAUCAAAUGUGUUCUCUUUUUAAACUAAGCUGAAGUAUCUAAUCUGCCAGAACUACCAGAACCAAAGCAUGUUUUGUUCAUACAGCAAAUUUAGGCCAAACUCCUAUAAAUAGGACAAAGUCACCUAAUCUGCUCUUCUUCUUCUUCUUUUUUUUUUUUUUUUUUUUUUUUUUUUUUACUUUUUUUUAGCUACUGCAGUUAAAUAGCUGCAAAUGAUAUAGUCAGGAUAUUGCAUUAUGGUACAUUCUUGAUAAGUGUUCAACACCAAUCAAAACACUUCUAAGAAUAAGAUGCCUGCCUCCUUAUAUGAAAGAUACAUAAUGAAAUAAUCAGUAGUAAAAAAAAAAAAAAAAAAAUCAAUGAACUGCUAAAAUAAAUACAUAAUUAAAACAUUAUUUAAGUUUGAAAAUAUGUCAGUCUUUCUACUUUCAACUUUCCAAAAUAUGUAGUUAUUUCUGUGUAUAGGCCUAUUACUUAAGACAUUUACAUUUAAGACAAUUUUUUCAAAGUGUACAGAUUUUAGUCUGCUGUAUCUGACAAUUGUAUCCCGUAAUAAAGACUUUACUCUACUUUUUCACUCCUGUGAUCAGAUUUGCCAAAGCUCCAAAACAGUUCACACUGUUUUAUAAAUCUAUUUAGCAAUGGUCUGAUCACUUAUCCUAAAGAGAAACACCUGAUAGAUAAAUUCAGCUAAAAAGAACAAGCUCUAAACAAUAAAUCGUCCCUGUCCACCUACACUACAUGCAGCAUCUUAUGUGCGUUCUGCAGCAGCCUACCUCAAAAAUGCCAUAACGGAGGCAGCACGCUUACGCUUUGAGCUACGGUCUGCGCGUGUCUUUGAGACUGAGAGCUCUCGUCUUUGAAACUUUGUGAGCCAUUUCUCUGCAGCAGGAGGCUGGUUCGUGCAUUCUACCUUGUCAUCAGCACUGCCGUCAUCCUGAGCAUCGCUCGCCGCUGCAGUGGGCUCCUCCGCCGCUGCGUCCUCCUCACAUCUCCCGUCCCGUUGCGCGGAUGAUGCUGUAGUUCCCAUUUCACAAUCCCUCUCUCGUCCUCUUCAGCUUGUUCCUUUACGACUGCAGAGCGGGGGUAUCCCAAGAUGAGCGCUGAGCGGUGGUCGGACUCAGAAAUGAUGCAGUUUGGCUCGAUGCAAACUCUUUUAGGACGCAUCCUUCCUGCAUCACAUGAACGCACUGGCACGCCUCGACGCAACGAGAGUCCUGGGAUGACCGAGGGACAACCUCUACAAUCAACGUUUUUAUCCUAUGAUUAUGUUUGUUUAUCCAUCGCGUGCCCGGUCUUGUGAAAAUCCGUCUAAAUAGCGUGCCAAAUAAAAAAAGGAAAACUCGUGGUAUUGAUACGCAAACAUGGACUUUGGCGUAUAUAUGACACGCACGUGUUUGGCGCGCAUACAAUACGCAGUUUUCGCCUGCAUAUGCUAAGAAAUUUGUUUUCGUGUAUAUGAUACGCAUCUACCCCACAACCUUAAUACUGUUCAUCGCGUAGCAUAUACACAACAUAAUCUAUUUUCGAAGAGUUUUCUUUUUUAUUUGGCGUGCUAUUUAUACGCGCAUUGAGAUCGUACAGGCAUGGUUACAUUAAAGCACUCGAAAUAUCUGUAUGGGAUAACUAAUGGGUCACUUAAGCAUAUUCAAUCCUAUUAAAUCAUUUAGAACAGAAAACUAUAACAAUCAAAUGUCAAACCAGAAUUCAUAUUCAUUUAUAUCAAUUAUUUAUUAUGAAAUGGUGAUAAGUAUGUGGAGACUUCCUAAAUAAUAACAGGUGUUUUAUAUUAACAGGUUUCCCUAUUCCACCAAGUCUAGACGAAUAUUAAUGGAAUUCUACAAAAUUCUGUUCUUCCAGCUUUAUUGCAAAGGUUUGAGAUGGGUGACUUUCUGUUCAAAAAGCAAGCAAAAAGGACAAACCUUUCCUGAUUUACUUGAUGUGUGUAGAAGAUACUUCAAACACAAUCUCCUCAUUUAGGAUCGGUCUGAACUCCAGCCAAUAUCAAUACUUUAAAAGGCAUCAAGUUAAACGGAAAUGGAAGGUUACUGCGCCGGGCAAUUACUGAGCCAAGAAAGACCUCCAAACACAUGACAAACAUGAACGCUAAUUCAAUCAAAGGCCCUGAAACACAUGAGCCGCUGUGGAGAUUCUCAUACUAAGUUAACAGGAUCAGUUAAUUCGAGUCACAGUUCGCCUAACCAGAACCAGCUGAUGUUUUCUUCAGACAUAACACGGUUUAGAAGUCCCCGGAAUCAGGAAGAAACGAUGCCUGUGAAUAAUCCACGUCCCUCUCAUAGCGUCUGUUCAUCGGACCUCGUUUUGCAACCAAUUCGUUUGUCCAGAGUGUCGCCGAUCACAGAUUUAACGAAGCACGUUUGACAAGCAUACAUAUGUUUGCAUUAAAAAUAACCUGGGGUAAUGGAAUGGGAAUUUCCAAGUUCUCAGGACGCUGGAUUGCACGAUUCUGUGUUGUGUUUACUCGCUAAUGGUAAGAGGGUUACGUGUAUCCAAUUUGGUCUAAUUUAAUGCAAGCAAACUUACAUAAGGACUGAGAGCUGGGGGGACCUUUAAGAAAAAGUGUUUGUGUGUGUGUGUGUGUGUGUGUGUGUGUACGUUUUUAUUUAUUGCUCCAAACCAGCACCCCGAACUCAAGAAUUGUUUAAGCUGCUACAUUUUCAUUCUUUUAAUAAACUUUGCUGCACGAAAAACUAGGUUGACGACCUCAACCUGGCUAAAAAUAGAUCCAGCAGAAAAAAAAAUACAUGUUAAUGUGCAUUUUACACCCGAAGCACGUUUUCAUCGUGUGGAAUUUGUAAUUCAGAUUAAACCUGUAUUGCUUUCUAUGCAUCAUAUCACAUUAUCGAACUGAAUAAAAGUAAAAGUUUGUCGUUUG